rnacentral:rRNA from 1 species
CGUAGGUAACCUGCCUCUUAGGGGGGGAUAACUAUUGGAAACGAUAGCUAAUACCGCAUAAAAGUCGACAUUGCAUUAUGUUGACUUGAAAGGUGCAAUUGCAUCACUAAGAGAUGGACCUGCGUUGCAUUAGCUAGUUGGUGAGGUAACGGCUCACCAAGGCGACGAUACAUAGCCGACCUGAGAGGGUGAUCGGCCACACUGGGACUGAGACACGGCCCAG